AAGAAAAUUUUCAACGGUGGAUAUCUUGGCUCCCAUAACGAUGAAGAACGCAGCGAAAUGCGAUACGCAAUGUGAAUUGCAGAAUUCCGCGAGUCAUCAGAUCUUUGAACGCAAAUUGCGCCGAGGGGAUAUCCCAACGGCAUGUUUGUUUCAGUGUGUUUA
rnacentral:rRNA from 1 species